rnacentral:rRNA from 1 species
CAGCCGCCGCGGUAAUACCGGCGGCCCGAGUGGCGGUCACUAUUAUUGGGCUUAAAGCGUCCGUAGCCGGGUUGGGAAGUCCUCCGGGAAAUCUGGCCGCUUAACGGUCAGAAUGCCGGAGGAUACUCCCAGCCUAGGGAGCGGGAGAGGCCGAGGGUAUUCCCGGAGUAGGGGGGAAAUCCUAUAAUCCCGGGAGGACCACCUGUGGCGAAGGCGCUCGGCUGGAACGCGUCCGACGGGGAGGGACGAAGGCCAGGGGAGCAAACCGGAUUAGAUACCCGGGUAGUCCUGGCUGUAAACGAUGCGGACUUUGUGUCGGACAAGCUAUGAGCUUGUCCGGUGCCGGAGGGAAACCGUUAAGUCCGCCGCCUGGGGAGUACGGCCGCAAGGCUGAAACUUAAGGGAAUUGGCGGG